GAUGAACGCUGGCGGCGUGCCUAAUACAUGCAAGUCGAGCGAACAGAUGAGGAGCUUGCUCCUCUGACGUUAGCGGCGGACGGGUGAGUAACACGUGGAUAACCUACCUAUAAGACUGGGAUAACUUCGGGAAACCGGAGCUAAUAUCGGAUAAUAUAUUGAAUCGCAUGGUUCAAUAGUGAAAGACGGUUUUGCUGUCACUUAUAGAUGGAUCCGCGCCGCAUUAGCUAGUUGGUAAGGUAACGGCUUACCAAGGCAACGAUGCGUAGCGGACCUGAGAGAGUGAUCGUCCAAACUGAAACGGGGACACGGUCCAGACUCCUACGGGAGGCAGAGGUAGGGAAUCUUCCGCAAGGGGCGAAGGCCUGACGGGGCAACGCCGCGUGAGUGAUGAAGGUCUUCGGAUCGUAAAACUCUGUUAUUAGGGAAGAGCAAAUGUGUAAGUAACUAUGCACGUCUUGACUGAACCUAAUCAGAAAGCCACGGCUAACUACGG
rnacentral:rRNA from 1 species